rnacentral:misc_RNA from 1 species
GAUGAAGAACGUAGCGAAAUGCGAUACGUAAUGUGAAUUGCAGAAUUCAGUGAAUCAUCGAGUCUUUGAACGCACAUUGCGCCCUCGGGUAUUCCCGAGGGCAUGCCUGUCCGAGCGUCAUUAUCCAACCAUCAAGCUCGGCUUGCGGUUGAGCCCCGCACCGUCCCCGGGACGGUGGGCUCGAAACAUGUUGGGCGCCCGUGAGGUUGUCGGUGCAGCGAGCUCUCGAGCACGUGCCGGGCAACCGCUCUGGGCGUCGGCCAGCCCCCCCAUUUUCUCAGGUUGACCUCGGAUCAGGUAGGAAUACCCGCUGAACUUAAGCAUAUCAAUAAGCGGAGGA